rnacentral:rRNA from 1 species
AAGUAAAAGUCGUAACAAGGUUUCCGUAGGUGAACCUGCGGAAGGAUCAUUAAUGAAACUUCAAAGUCGGCCAAAGGUUGUUGCUGGUGAUUAUUCACAUGUGCACGCCUUUGGUCGCAAAUCCACACACACCUGUGCAUCUAUGACUCGAGGUUGUAAUGACUGAGAGUAACUUUUAUACACUCUUGUAUGUAAUGGAAUGUCUUUUUGUGCUAUAAUGUACAAUAUAAACAACUUUCAACAACGGAUCUCUUGGCUCUCGCAUCGAUGAAGAACGCAGCGAAAUGCGAUAAGUAAUGUGAAUUGCAGAAUUCAGUGAAUCAUCGAAUCUUUGAACGCACCUUGCACCCUUUGGUAUUCCGAAGGGUACGCCCGUUUGAGUGUCAUUGUAAUCUCACUUCUACAACUUUAUUGUUGUUUGAAUGUGGACUUGGAUGUUGCCGUUUUAUCACGGCUUGUCUUAAAUGCCUGAGUGUACCCUGUUUUGCAGCGUAUCCAGUGUAAUAAACAUUUCACUAGAGUUGGUCGAAAGACCGCGUUGACUAUAUGGGCUCUAUGCUUCAAACCGUCUGCCAUGUGGACAAUUUCUUGACAAUUUGACCUCAAAUCGGGUGGGACUACCCGCUGAACUUAAGCAUAUCAAUAAGCGGAGGAAAAGAAACUAACAAGGAUUCCCCUAGUAACGGCGAGUGAAGAGGGAAAAGCUCAAAUUUUAAAUCUGGUGUCUUUGACUCCCGAGUUGUAAUCUAGAGAAGUGUUUUCCGUGUCGGACCGUGUACAAGUUCCCUGGAACGGGGCGUCAUAGAGGGUGAGAAUCCCGUAUAUGCCACGGACUACCGAUGCUCUGUGAUACACUCUCAACGAGUCGAGUUGUUUGGGAAUGCAGCUCAAAAUGGGUGGUAAAUUCCAUCUAAAGCUAAAUAUUGGCGAGAGACCGAUAGCGAACAAGUACCGUGAGGGAAAGAUGAAAAGCACUUUGGAAAGAGAGUGAAACAGUACGUGAAAUUGUUGAAAGGGAAGCGUUUGAAGUCAGUCGCAUCUGUUGGGGUUCAGCCUGGCUUUUGCCUGGUGUAUUUCCUUUCCGAUGGGUCAGCAUCAGUUUCGACCGAGGGAAAAAGACAUUUGGAAUGUGGCUGUCUUCGGGCAGUGUUAUAGCCUUGUGUUGUAUGUCUCGGUUGGGACUGAGGAUUGCAGCGCGCCAUAAAUGGCCGGGGGUCGCUCCUCUCGACACGCGCUUAGGAUGCUGGCAUAAUGGCUUUAAGCGACCCGU